rnacentral:rRNA from 1 species
UACAGAGACUGCAAGCGUUUAUUCGGAUUCAUUGGGCGUAAAGGGUGCGUAGGCGGCGCGGUAAGUCGGGUGUGAAAUCUCGGAGCUUAACUCCGAAACUGCAUUCGAUACUGCCGUGCUUGAGGACUGGAGAGGAGACUGGAAUUUACGGUGUAGCGGUGAAAUGCGUAGAUAUCGUAAGGAAGACCAGUGGCGAAGGCGGGUCUCUGGACAGUUCCUGACGCUGAGGCACGAAGGCCAGGGGGAGCAAACGGGG